rnacentral:lncRNA from 1 species
AAAUUCCAAUUUAAUACUCAGAUUAUUUCAUUUACUUAGUUACCAUUAAGUGAACGUUGAUACUAUCUGAUUUAAAAUUACAUGGUGACAACGUUCAGCUGGUACCCUAUGCUAUCAGAGAGUCAAUGUUAGAAUACCUCAGCAUUAGUCUACUUCACAUAACAAAAGAACCAUGUGCAAGGUGACUUUAACAAGAAACUCUUUUUUUCAACUAUUAAUACGCAUAAACCUCAAAGUGGUUUCAUGUUCAGCUACUAUUCUGAAGUCAAAUAUUAAACUACACAACAAAACAAAAUUAGAUGAACGACCUUCAGUUUUAACAGUCUACAACAGUCCACAAUCCAAACCAAAUUAAAAAAGUUCGAAUUAUACAAGUCAUCUAUCUAUUGUUCCUGUAACACAAAUUACAAUGCAACCAAACAUUUGCACAAUCUAUCUAAUUACGAACGAUAGAAAAUAAUCUGUGCACAUAAAAUUUGAUGAACAUUUUUAUUUCAAUUCCAGUCCGAAGAUACACUGAUGUGAGUUCAAGCUAUGUACCUGAAGUGAAUCAAGUAGAAAGGGGAAAAGGUGAGCAAUAGCAAAGAAAUCUGCGAUUUGGAUUUUCAAACAUUAGCAAAAACAAUCAAUCACAGCCCAUAAAUAACUUGAUUACUCCAGAAAUGGUUUAAACCAAAGAGACUAUUUAUCAAUCCCAAAUCAGCAUAGACAUGCCCAGAAAUGCACAUAGGAAAGCAAUACAAUCAACCGAUCAAACCAAAACAUCAUCAAGUAAUGUAAAAUGAACCCAAUCCUUCACUCAUGAUCAAUAAACACUAAUAACUAAUUCGAACUACUCUUAAUUCUCCAUAUACCACAGAAACCAGAGAAAACUCGAGUAAUUUCAAUCCUAAUGUGAGCUAGAGACUUGAAAUCUGAAACUCAUUGAAUAAAACUAAUGUAACCGUCAUGUUUUUGGAUUUUUUUUAAUUUUGUGUUUCUUUUUGGAUUUUUUUUGGAAUGUUGAAUUUUAAAACUAGAUCUAGAACUAAUCAGAGAUGUUUGGGAGGAAUUUUUGAGCUACCCAAACUUGUGUGUUAAAGCAUCAGCAUGCUCUUUUAUAGGGAAAAAUAAUGGUAGCCUCAGAUAUUCAGUUUUUAAACUUAGUCCUUUUUAAAUUAUUAUUUUUGCUUACAGUUCCCUUAUUCUCUGACUUAUUACUCAAGUAAGUGCAAUUAUUUUUAGAAUUCUCAUCUUAAAACCCUUUCUAGAAUGUUCUAGGCAUCUCAAGUAACAACUACAAGAUUCCUUACCCUAUCAUUUCCUAAACUACCCUCUCCAUGCACAACUAUUUACUACUGACCUACCCCUUAACUAUAGUCAGUUAAACCUACAAAACUAGGAGAUAAUUAAAUAAAUUCAAACAAUUAAACUAAUUGAAAUUAGCUGCAGCAAACUAACUGAAACAAUUAUACUAAAUUAAAAUUUAAACUGAGAAGAACACAAUUAUACUUAAACAAAAUUAACAAAAACCAUGAAAUUCCACACUGAUAAAUAGAUAACAAAUACAAAAAUGAAAUCAUAACAAAUUAUCAGUAAAAACGAAUAACACUUCAAGAUUUAAAACAAGUAAAGGAAAUAGGUGAAAAUCAAACACAACUAAUCAGACCCAAAGAAAGCAAAUUAAAUGGAAGGGGAGAAAGAUUCGAAAUCGCCUAGUUUGCACCCAAUAGGAAGUGGUAGAAAAACACUUAAGAGAACUUACCAGUUGAACCUGACUGCAAUGGACCUUUGAUUCAGACCCAAAAAUGAUAUUAAUCAUUUGUUCUUUUCCUAGAACAAACGAGCAAUAUCAUUUCAUGGCCCAAAUCGAGCAAACUUGAAACCCUAGAAAUCUACCUUCAUACGAUUUGAGAUUCAAGCCAUUCUGCUGAUGUUUGAAGGCAACCAGUAGGAGAUUUAAGUAGAUGUGCAGGAGAGCACGGUGUGUUAAUUUGGGAUGGUUUGGAUGGAGUUAUGUCUUGGCCGGAAAGUUUCGAAUUAAGAUUCGAAUCGAUCUGAUGGGAUUUGAGAAAAUAUAAUAUGGAGGUUGUAAAGAGGACAGAAAGAUGGUUCUAGGGUGUAAAUUUCAAGGGACUUGGAGGUGGGCCGUCUGCGGCGGCGGCGAUGGCGUUACACAAUCUGUACGAGGAAGAAUGCACGUUGUCGUUUAGGGUUUCAAAGAGUUUCAAACAAUUUUAUUUAAUGGGUUGGAUGGAUCCUGAGUCGUGGAUAAGAUGAAAAUAAGGGGCCCAGAUUUGAGGGACACCGAAUCGGUGUCGUUUUGUCUAGUCCUUGAACCGGACUGGGUCAGGAUUGAUUGGGCCUGGGCGUGGUCAUUUUUGGGCUGGGCAAUGCUGGCCCAAUUUUUGUACCUUAUCAAGACCAACCUUUCUAAUUGUUUUUCCUUUAUUCCUUUUGUCUAUUUUUGUAUUAUUAUUUUUUUAUAUUUUUCUGAUUUUAUAAAAUUGCAACAAUUAAAAUAAAGUCAUAAUAUAUUUCAAAAUUAAACUAAUUAAUUUCAAGAUUAUGUCAAAAUCUAUUUUGGGACAAAUUCACAAUUAAACAAUAAAAAAUGCGAAAGUGAACUAUUUUUGUUAUUUUCAUCAUAUUUUGUUUAAAAAUAAAUUAACCCCUAAUUAAUACUAAAAUAUAAAAUUAAAUCCUAAAUGCAACUACAUAUUUUUGUAUUCUCAUAUGAAUUAACGUGCAGAAAUAAAAUGCAAACAAUUAACAUAAAAAUAACACCAAAAUUCACAGAAAUUAUAAAAAUAAGGAAAAAUCUUUUUUUGUUUGACUUUUUGGAAAUAAUUCAUAUAUAUGAUAAAAAUCACGUGCUCACAACUGUCACACGACCAUACAAAACAUUUUCAACCAGGAAUCAAAUCAUGCUCAUGAGACUAAAAGGAGAGAGAGAAAGAAACUAAACCAAAUGUUAAAUUAUAUAUCGAAGCAACCUAUCAUCAAAAUAUAGCGUAAGAAACUUCAACUUUCUUCUAAUUGCACAAAAUGGGAAGUUCAAAAAUGACUUGAAAUAAGAAACAGAGAUCCAUUCAUCACUAGAUAUAACUAAAUACAAAUGGGUUUUUUUGAGUUUACCUCUUAAGUAAGCCAAUCAAUAAGGGAAAGAAAAAACCAAAUGGAGGCUGAAAAACAGUGCGGACGGAGCUCAGCUACACAACAGGGGAGUCACAGCAGCAUAUUCGAGUAAACAACCGCAGUAAUUGGAUAAUUCCAGCCCUAUUGAACCUUUAAAUUUUCAGGAAUGGAGUGCAAAUUCAGCAGCUACGUUUACCCCUUUAAUCCUCUUAGUUGAAGCUUUUUGUUUUAGAUCUCUGUUGAAAUUUGAAUUUCAAAAUUCUUGAAAAAUGUUUAUGUACGAGAGUGCUCCUUGAAAGGUGAUUUUGAGUGGCAAUGGGAAAUUAUCUCUAGACUAAUUUUCAGCCAUUUGAGAGCUGGUUUUGCUUUUCUUUUCAACCGAACUUUGCUACAUUUUUUAGCUGAAUAUUAAGCUCGUUCUGGUGUAGUUUGGACGAACAUGGGACUGGGUUGGUGGCUGCUUUUGGGGUCUAUGUUUGGAGAAGAUGAAGAUGGAAGAAGAAGGGUGGGGAUGCAGUGUCGCUCUAGAAUUUUAACGGCUGAAGGAUCUAUUGCCUAGGUUGAGGUCAUUUUAUAGGUCUAAG